UACGUAGGGGGCAAGCGUUGUCCGGAAUCAUUGGGCGUAAAGCGCGUGUAGGCGGCCCGGUAAGUCCGCUGUGAAAGUCGGGGGCUCAACCCUCGGAUGCCGGUGGAUACUGUCGGGCUAGAGUACGGAAGAGGCGAGUGGAAUUCCUGGUGUAGCGGUGAAAUGCGCAGAUAUCAGGAGGAACACCAAUUGCGAAGGCAGCUCGCUGGGACGUCACUGACGCUGAGACGCGAAAGCGUGGGGAGCAAACAGG
rnacentral:rRNA from 1 species